rnacentral:tRNA from 1 species
GUCCCAGUAGCUCAGUAGGAUAGAGCAACGGCCUUCUAAGCCGUAGGUCGCAGGUUCGAAUCCUGCCUGGGACA